UACCUGUGGUAAUUCUAGAGCUAAUACAUGCAACAAAGCCUCGAUUGGGCCACUCUCGGGUGGCGCAUGAAAGGCGCGGUUAUUAGAUCACAAAACCGUAUUCGGUCAGCGAUGGCCGUUCAAAUUCGAAACUGUGAUGACUCUGAAUAACUCAGCCGAGCGCUUAGGUCUCGUACCGGCGCCGUAUCCUUCGAGUGUCUGCCUUAUCAGCUCUCGAUUGUAAGUUAUACGCUUACAAUGGCUGUAACGGGUAACGGGGAAUCAGGGUUCGAUUCCGGAGAGGGAGCCUGAGAAACGGCUACCACAUCUAAGGAAGGCAGCAGGCACGCAAAUUACCCAUUUCCGGCACGGAGAGGUAGUGACGAAAAAUAACGAUGCGGUACUCUUCCGAGGCACCGCAAUCGGAAUGAAUUUAUUUUAAAUCCUUGAACGAGGAUCGAUUGGAGGGCAAGUCUGGUGCCAGCAGCCGCGGUAAUUCCAGCUCCAAUAGCGUAUAUUAAAGUUGCUGCGGUUAAAAAGCUCGUAGUUGGAUUUCGCUACCCGGAUCGGCGGCCCAUCUGAGGGUGUUAGACGAAAGUCCGAUUGCUUCGGCUGACCCGUUCUGCGGGCGUCGUUUAGCUUUUCGGUUCUCGAGUCUUUCGCCUGGUGGCAAACCGUUCGAUUCCGGGUUGAAAUAAAUUCGUCGUCUCACGCCGGGUCCUCUUCGCCGAGUGUCCGGUGCGCGGUCGGCACGUUCACUUUGAAAAAAUUAGAGUGCUCAAAGCGGGCUAAAAAUUUACAAGCUCGAAUGGUGGUGCAUGGAAUGAAGUAACAGGACCUCGGUUCUGCCUUAUUUUAUUGAUCGGUUUCUUGGAACCCGAGGUAAUGAUUAACGGGAACUGACGGGGGCAUUGGUAUUGCGGCGCUAGAGGUGAAAUUCUUGGACCGUCGCAAGACUAACUACUGCGAAAGCAUUUGCCAAGAAUGUUUUCAUUAAUCAAGAACGAAAGUUAGAUGAUCGAAGGCGAUCAGAUACCGCCCUAGUUCUAACCGUAAACUAUGCUAACUGGCGAUCCGCCGGAGUCAUUCCCACGACUCAGCGGGAAGCCCCCCGGGAAACCAAAGUUUCUGAGUUCCGGGGGGAGUAUGGUUGCAAAGCUGAAACUUAAAGGAAUUGACGGAAGGGCACCACCAGGAGUGGAGCCUGCGGCUUAAUUUGACUCAACACGGGAAACCUCACCAGGGCCGGACACUGAGAGGAUUGACAGAUUAAGAGCUCUUUCUCGAUUCGGUGGAUAGUGGUGCAUGGCCGUUCUUAGUUGGUGGACCGAUUUGUCUGGUUGAUUCCGAUAACGAACGAGACUCUACCCUACUAAAUAGUCGGUCGAUAGACUUCCGAGCGGAGGCGUUUCGGGAAUCUGAUCGUGCCCGCGUUCGGCCUUUCGGGGUCGUCGCGCGUCGUACGUUCGGUCCUUUCCGUUAGCGUUUUCCACGAGGGGGCGUCCUCCGUAACUUCUUCUUAGAGGUAUUCGUAGUGGCCAGCUGCACGAGAUAGAGCAAUAACAGGUCUGUGAUGCCCUUAGAUGUUCUGGGCCGCACGCGCGCUACAAUGUGGUGCUCAGCGUGCGUUCCCACUCCGAAAGGAGCGGGUAACCCUGUGAAACCCCUUCCCGAUUGGGAUUGGGGCUUGCAAAUGUUUCCCAUGAACGAGGAAUUCCUAGUAAGCGCGAGUCAUUAGCUCGCGCUGAUUACGUCCCUGCCCUUUGUACACACCGCCCGUCGCUACUACCGAUUGAAUGAUUCAGUGAGGACAUCGGACUGGCGCCUUUGGUAACCUCGUUCGGUUUCGAUGCCUUCGCGGGCUUCAGGCCGUGACGGGAACCUUAGGUCGACGGAAAGAUGUCCGAACUUGGUCAUUUAGAGGAAGUAAAAGUCG
rnacentral:rRNA from 1 species